rnacentral:rRNA from 1 species
GGGAUAACCUUGCGAAAGUAAGACUAAUACCCAAUGAUAUCUCUAGAAGACAUCUGAAAGGGAUUAAAGAUUUAUCGGUGAUGGAUGGGGAUGCGUCUGAUUAGCUUGUUGGCGGGGUAACGGCCCACCAAGGCGACGAUCAGUAGGGGUUCUGAGAGGAAGGUCCCCCACAUUGGAACUGAGACACGGUCCAAACUCCUACGGGAGGCAGCAGUGAGGAAUAUUGGUCAAUGGACGAGAGUCUGAACCAGCCAAGUAGCGUGCAGGAUGACGGCCCUAUGGGUUGUAAACUGCUUUUAUAAGGGAAUAAAGUGAGUCUCGUGAGACUUUUUGCAUGUACCUUAUGAAUAAGGACCGGCUAAUUCCGUGCCAGCAGCCGCGGUAAUACGGAAGGUCCGGGCGUUAUCCGGAUUUAUUGGGUUUAAAGGGAGCGUAGGCCGGAGAUUAAGCGUGUUGUGAAAUGUAGAUGCUCAACGUCUGCACUGCAGCGCGAACUGGUUUCCUUGAGUACGCACAAAGUGGGCGGAAUUCGUGGUGUAGCGGUGAAAUGCUUAGAUAUCACGAAGAACUCCGAUUGCGAAGGCAGCUCACUGGAGCGCAACUGACGCUGAAGCUCGAAAGUGCGGGUAUCGAACAGGAUUAGAUACCCUGGUAGUCCGCACGGUAA